rnacentral:rRNA from 1 species
UACGGAGGGUGCAAGCGUUAUCCGGAAUCACUGGGUUUAAAGGGUGCGUAGGCGGCGUUAUAAGUCAGAGGUGAAAGGCCACCGCUUAACGGUGGGACUGCCUUUGAUACUGUAGUGCUUGAAUAAGGUUGAGGUUAGCGGAAUGAGUCAUGUAGCGGUGAAAUGCAUAGAUAUGACUUAGAACACCAAUUGCGAAGGCAGCUGGCUAGACCUUUAUUGACGCUGAGGCACGAAAGCGUGGGGAGCGAACAGG